UAAGUUUAUAGCUUUUCUGUCUUAUUAGACUCAGCCUGGGUAUAGAACUCUCACUGUACACCACCACCAUCAUUGUAAGUUACCUCUUGGACAAAUUUCAUACCUGCCCAGGUAAACUUCUGGAUUUUCUUGGAUCAGAAAUGGAAGGAAGCUGAUCUAAGAAGAUCGUGUUAUUAUUUCUUGCCAUAUCUAAUCCUGCUACCAAUGAUGUAGUUGAAUGAAGUAAUCACAAGUAAAUCCAAGGAGUUCUUGUAGGUAGCAAGAAUUCGAAGGGAUACAUAAGGGAUUGUGGGGCGGGGGUGCCACACAUGAAACUGAAUGUGUAUGAGGAGGACUGGAUACUGGAGAA
rnacentral:lncRNA from 1 species